UACGAAGGGGGCUAGCGUUGCUCGGAAUUACUGGGCGUAAAGCGCACGUAGGCGGCGGCGUAAGUUGGAUGUGAAAUCCCCCGGCCCAACCGGGGAACUGCGUCCAGUACUGCGUUGCUUGAGGAUCCAAGGGGUGCAUGGAAUUCCCGGUGGAGCGGUGAAAUGCGUUGAUAUCGGGAGGAACUCCGGCGGCGAAAGCGGUGCACUGGUGGAUUACUGACGCUGAGGUGCGAAAGCCAGGGGAGCAAACGGG
rnacentral:rRNA from 1 species